GAGGAGGCCGGGCGAGUUCGGAGGAGGCCGGCUGGCGGGCCGCGAAGGGGACCCCAGUCACGGCGGCCCGGGGAGGCCCGGCCGGUUCGCCUCAGGCACUGGGGUCCCAGGGGACGUGCUCUGUACGCUGGAGGAUUAAAGAUGACCGCCUGACUGGCUGAUCGAUUAAAGCUGGGCUCCUCGUGCACCUGAGCUCCCUGCAGCGACGCCCCAGAAGCCCCGGGGCCCCCCGAGAAGCUCGCGGGCCGAGGCGUUCCCCCGAAGAAAGGUUCGCGCCAUCGCGGCACCUCUGGACUGGAGGAGAAAGCAAGGGGACGCAAGGUGGGAACUAGGCGGGGUUGGCAGCCUGCUCCCGCCGUGCCCGGGCUGGCCAGGGGAUGCUUCACAGAUGAGCACUCUGGGAGGACUGGCGGGGGAGGGAAAGCAGCCCAGGAUGAGCCGGAGGAUCGGCACGAGGGUGGAUCCCGGAACACCCCCGGAGUCGGGAGGGUGAGUCGAAGAGGAGGAGGAGGACGACGACUAAAUGCAUAAAUAAAUGCGGUAUCUGUGUAAGCGCCUACUAUAAUGAUAA